rnacentral:tRNA from 1 species
UUUGUUUAACGAUAUAAAGAGAAAGAUGAAGCCGAGUCGUAACGGACUAGGUUGAACUGAAUCACAAAGCUAGUCCUAUAGCUCAGUUGGUUAGAGCGCUACACUGAUAAUGUAGAGGUCGGCAGUUCAACUCUGCCUGGGACUACGAACGGAAUCAAGUUCGGGGGAUUAGCUCAGCUGGCUAGAGCAUCUGCCUUGCACGCAGAGGGUCAACGGUUCGAAUCCGUUAUUCUCCUCAAGAAAAGAAGUUCUAUGACAUGAUGUAACAAGCAAAUAAAAAAGUACGAAAGCUUGAAGUAUAUAUCAUCCCGCACUGCAAGUCAGUGUGACGUGAUAAGGAAAGUAAGCAAGGGCGCACGGUGGAUGCCU